rnacentral:snoRNA from 1 species
GAAAAUGAUGAGAUAUAUUUGGAAUCUCGUUCGUCUGAAUUGCUGUUGAGAAUUUAAUAUCUGACAUCA